rnacentral:rRNA from 1 species
UACGGAGGGAGCUAGCGUUGUUCGGAAUUACUGGGCGUAAAGCGCACGUAGGCGGCUUUGUAAGUUAGAGGUGAAAGCCCGGGGCUCAACCCCGGAAUUGCCUUUAAGACUGCAUCGCUUGAAUCCAGGAGAGGUGAGUGGAAUUCCGAGUGUAGAGGUGAAAUUCGUAGAUAUUCGGAAGAACACCAGUGGCGAAGGCGGCUCACUGGACUGGUAUUGACGCUGAGGCACGGAAAGCGUGGGGAGCAAACAGGG